AGAGUUUGAUCAUGGCUCAGAACGAACGCUGGCGGCAGGCCUAACACAUGCAAGUCGAACGAACUCUUCGGAGUUAGUGGCGCACGGGUGCGGAACACGUGGGAAUAUACCCUUAGGUAAGGAAUAACUGCUGGAAACGGUAGCUAAUACCUUAUAAUAUCUUCGGAUCAAAGAUUUAUCGCCUAGGGAUUAGCCCGCGUCUGAUUAGUUUGUUGGUGAGGUAAUGGCUCACCAAGACUACGAUCAGUAGCUGGUCUGAGAGGAUGAUCAGCCACACUGGUACUGAGACACGGACCAGACUCCUACGGGAGGCAGCAGUGAGGAAUAUUGGACAAUGGAGGAAACUCUGAUCCAGCCAUGCCGCGUGAGUGAAGACGGCCUUAGGGUUGUAAAGCUCUUUCAGAUGUGAAGAUAAUGACGGUAGCAUCAGAAGAAGCCCCGGCUAAAUUCGUGCCAGCAGCCGCGGUAAUACGAAUGGGGCAAGCGUUGUUCGGAAUAACUGGGCUUAAAGCGUCCGCAGGCGGUCUAUAAAGUCAGAAGUGAAAUCCCAGAGCUUAACUCUGGAACUGCUUUUGAAACUUAUAGACUAGAAUAUUGGAGAGGUCGGGAGAAUUCCUAGUGUAGAGGUGAAAUUCGCAGAUAUUAGGAGGAAUACCAGUGGCGUAGGCGCCCGACUGGACAAUUAUUGACGCUCAGGGACGAAGGCGUGGGGAGCAAACAGGAUUAGAUACCCUGGUAGUCCACGCAGUAAACGAUGUAUGCUAGUUGUCAGGCUCUUAGAGUUUGGUGACGGAGAGAAAUUUUUAAGCAUACCGCCUGGGGAGUACGGCCGCAAGGCUAAAACUCAAAGGAAUUGACGG
rnacentral:rRNA from 1 species